UACAGAGGUGGCAAGCGUUGUUCGGAAUUACUGGGCGUAAAGGGCGCGUAGGCGGUUCGGUAAGUCCUGUGUGAAAUCCCUCGGCUCAACUGAGGAACUGCACGGGAGACUGCCGGGCUUGAGUUCGGGAGAGGGAAGCGGAAUUCCGGGUGUAGCGGUGAAAUGCGUAGAUAUCCGGAGGAACGCCGGUGGCGAAGGCGGCUUCCUGGACCGACACUGACGCUGAGGCGCGAAAGCUAGGGGAGCAAACGGG
rnacentral:rRNA from 1 species